CUUCCUGUCGGUGUCAGAAAGGCAACUUCACCAUAUUUAGCUGGCUCGCCGGAGCCCUGCAGAGUUGAUCUGUCAACCGGACUGGAAAUCUUCACUCUUAUCGGCGGCUCCACCGCGGCGCUGACAGCCUUCUUCCGCCACCGGGGGACGGACUCCAGAGGACGGUGUGCUCGGGACUCGGUUCCGGGGGAGAGGAGGCCGUGUCGGCGGCUGUUUUUUCUCUCUUUUUUUUUGGACGCGAUAAAAGUAGCCGUCGUCUGUCAGAAUUCCAACUAUCCAGCCUUUAGCUAAGCCAGCUAGCUAAUUACGAUAGCUGCUCCGACGAUCGCCGAGCCGCGGAAAACUAAUUUAUAUGUUGUGGGUUUAUGUUCGGACAUCGGUAGGGAUUCGUCUGGACUCCACGACCCCGCUGGGAUGAUAUCCUGACAGUCCCCCCGUCUGUUAUUGACACUUUGCUCCCCUUCGCCGGGCUACAGCGAGCUAACUCGGCUAACUAGCAGGGUCGUGUACAGCAGCCAGCUUUCGCCGUGGCACUGAAAUCCGAUUGGAUACAUUGAGCCGUGUGCAGGCGGCUGUUAGACGACCCCUUCUCUGCCGGCGACACGACCCCAGCCGAAGGGGCCCCCCUUCCGUGUUUGGCGGGGAGGGGACGAUCCGCCACUCGGCACAGCCGAAGGAGACACCGGAUUGAACGGAGGAAGAGUCCCAACGUUUGACAACUGUGAUCCGGGAAGUGAACCGGGCAGGGACCUCAUGAAUGGAAAUCGGAACUACAGGAGCCGUUGGGGCCCAGUCCCUGUUCUCCAUGCCACGGCGGCCUGGCUAUGGCACCAUGGGGAAGCCGAUCAAGCUGCUGGCCAACUGCUUCCAGGUGGAGAUCCCCAAGAUGGAUGUCUACCUCUACGAGGUGGACAUCAAGCCUGACAAGUGCCCACGGAGAGUCAACAGGGAGGUGGUUGACUCGAUGGUGCAGCACUUCAAGGUGACGAUCUUCGGGGAUCGAAGGCCAGUCUAUGAUGGAAAGAAGAGUCUCUACACAGCCAACCCGCUGCCCGUGGCACCCACUGGGGUGGAUCUGGACGUCACUCUUCCAGGGGAGGGAGGGAAGGAUCGGCCCUUCAAGGUUUCCAUCAAGUUCGUGUCGCUGGUCAGCUGGCACCUGCUCCACGAGGUGCUGACCGGCCGCAGCAUGCCCGAGCCGCUGGAGCUGGACAAGCCCAUCAGCACAAACCCCGUGCACGCCGUGGACGUGGUGCUGCGACACCUGCCCUCCAUGAAGUACACUCCAGUCGGACGAUCCUUCUUCUCGGCUCCAGAGGGCUACGACCAUCCUCUGGGAGGUGGGAGGGAGGUCUGGUUUGGCUUCCAUCAGUCUGUGCGCCCUGCCAUGUGGAAGAUGAUGCUCAACAUUGACGUAUCUGCCACCGCCUUCUACAAGGCCCAGCCAGUCAUCCAGUUCAUGUGCGAAGUCCUGGAUAUCCACAACAUCGACGAACAGCCUCGCCCUCUCACAGACUCACACCGAGUCAAAUUCACCAAAGAAAUCAAAGGCUUGAAGGUGGAGGUGACGCACUGUGGAACCAUGCGGAGGAAGUACCGUGUCUGCAAUGUGACCCGUCGGCCUGCCAGCCAUCAAACGUUCCCUCUGCAGUUGGAGAACGGCCAAACUGUAGAGCGCACUGUAGCCCAGUACUUCAGGGAGAAGUACAACCUGCAGCUCAAGUAUCCGCAUUUGCCCUGUCUACAGGUGGGCCAGGAGCAGAAGCACACCUACCUGCCCCUGGAGGUGUGUAACAUUGUAGCCGGCCAACGGUGCAUAAAGAAGCUGACAGAUAAUCAGACCUCCACUAUGAUCAAAGCCACAGCUCGCUCAGCGCCCGACAGACAGGAGGAGAUCAGCAGGCUGGUGCGCAGUGCCAACUACGAGGCCGACCCGUUUGUGCAGGAAUUCCAGUUCAAAGUGCGCGACGAGAUGGCCCACGUGACGGGGCGAGUGCUACCCGCCCCCAUGCUGCAGUACGGCGGCAGGGUGAGCACAGAGCACUUUAUGAACCGCACCGUGGCCACGCCCAGCCACGGCGUGUGGGACAUGAGGGGGAAGCAGUUCCACACUGGGGUCGAGAUCAAAAUGUGGGCCAUUGCCUGCUUCGCCACACAGAGGCAGUGUCGAGAAGAAAUCCUCAAGAGUUUUACAGACCAGCUUCGAAAGAUCUCUAAAGACGCUGGGAUGCCCAUUCAAGGCCAGCCUUGUUUCUGUAAAUACGCCCAGGGAGCGGACAGCGUGGAGCCCAUGUUCAGACACCUGAAGAACACCUACGCUGGACUGCAGCUCAUCAUCGUCAUCCUGCCGGGAAAAACCCCCGUCUAUGCGGAGGUGAAGCGCGUGGGAGACACUCUGCUCGGCAUGGCCACGCAGUGCGUCCAGGUGAAGAACGUGGUGAAGACGUCCCCUCAGACCCUCUCCAACCUCUGCCUCAAGAUCAAUGUGAAGCUGGGAGGCAUCAACAACAUCCUGGUGCCUCACCAACGACCAUCAGUCUUUCAGCAGCCAGUUAUCUUCUUGGGAGCAGAUGUUACACAUCCGCCGGCUGGAGAUGGGAAGAAGCCAUCGAUUGCAGCAGUGGUCGGCAGCAUGGACGCUCACCCCAGCAGGUACUGUGCCACUGUGCGGGUCCAGAGGCCCAGGCAGGAGGUCAUCCAGGACCUGGCCUCCAUGGUGCGAGAGCUGCUCAUCCAGUUUUACAAGUCGACCCGCUACAAGCCCACCAGGAUCAUUUUCUACAGGGACGGAGUUUCAGAGGGCCAGUUCAGACAGGUGCUGUAUUAUGAGCUGCUGGCCAUCCGCGAGGCCUGUAUCAGCCUGGAGAAGGAGUACCAGCCCGGCAUCACCUACAUUGUUGUACAAAAACGCCACCAUACGCGCCUCUUCUGCGCCGACCGCAACGAGAGAGUUGGACGCAGUGGAAACAUUCCUGCUGGUACUACCGUGGAUACAGACAUCACUCAUCCCUAUGAGUUCGACUUUUACCUCUGCAGUCACGCUGGAAUACAGGGCACCAGCCGGCCCUCCCACUAUCACGUGCUGUGGGACGACAAUUGUUUCACCGCCGACGAGUUCCAGCUGCUCACCUACCAGUUGUGCCACACCUACGUGCGCUGUACCCGCUCAGUCUCCAUCCCCGCGCCAGCCUACUACGCCCACCUGGUGGCCUUCCGCGCCCGCUACCAUCUGGUGGACAAAGAACACGACAGCGCCGAGGGCAGCCACGUGUCUGGCCAGAGUAACGGCCGGGACCCCCAGGCGCUGGCCAAAGCUGUGCAGAUUCACCACGACACCCUGAGGACCAUGUACUUUGCCUGAGCUCCACCCCCCCCCCCCACCACCACCACCGCCGCCUCCACCGCCAUCUCCACCACAUACAGAAGAAUCACACAAACACAACCACGCACGCCCGGCUUGCCAGUCAAGGAAUCCUCUGUGUGAUAUCAGCAGCCAUUCUCAUGGAGCUACAAAAAUUCUUUUGAGCACACUGCCACCUGUUGGCGACGAGGUAAAUGCCCCCCUCCCCAAAAGUCACAAGCAAAGAAGUUGUCGUCUUGUAAAGGUUUCAGAAAAGUUCUGAAUCGUCUCUUAAUUGUAAGCUGUCACGGUUUCUACUGGCUGGUAUAUCACUCGCUGAACCGCAGCCAUCUAUGGGUUUUAUUUAAAGUAUAACACUGUCAUUUGAUUCUGCUCUUUUUCCAUUAUGUGAAGCAUUUUUUUUGAUGAUUCUAGCUCUCCGUGCUGAAAGUACUUAAUCACGUGAGAUUUCAUUUUCAACUCCAGUAAUCAUCAUCGAUCCAUUUUCUCUCUGCUUUAUCUGGCGUUUCCCUCCGGAGCUCGGUGGAUAAAUAGAGAUCACGCCGAUGGUUUCCUCUAGUGCAAUAAUCAGCUGAACGAAGGGAAGAGAGGAUUUUAGGGGACUUAAAUGACUCGAAAGUACAGUUUCGCAUUUCAUUUGGAAGUGGGUGUCCUCCAAAGGAGAGAAGUUUUGCCACUGUGCAAGGCACUUUCAUCCGCUGCUCCUCUGCGAGUCGAUUGACAGGCGUGUUUUAUGAGUUUGCCCUUGCUGUCGGCUACAAACGGCGCAACUGCAGUUUUCGUGGUUCUUGCAUUUUUUUACUUGAACUGAAGGAUUUUCCGCUCCUCUGCGGUUUGAGGAUACUUUAUGAUCAUAUUGUGAGUGGCUUCACAAUAUUCCUGAUCGCCGGUUUGCCAUGGAGGGCUCGCUCAGAUCGCAGCAGCACAGUGGAGAAUAAAGGCCAUAAAAAGGUUUUAGUAUUCAAGUGCCUGGUGGAAGUUAAGUGUGUAACGGUCAAAAGCUGCAGCCUUGAUCAGCGGGGGUCUUGUUCUUCGUGGGGCAAAAAUGAUCACAGAGUAUAUUCUAACAAAUGGACAGCAUAAGAUAGUUUGAAGCAAGAAAGUUUCACUCGAUGCCUCUUAAUUCUUCUCUACAGCCGUCUACUGACUUUUCUAUACAUCUCAUUCAACUCAACCUAAGAUUAAUAUAUUUAUUGUAUUUGCCGACGCAGCAGAGUCGGCCGUUGGCUUUGCUUUAGAGCAGCGUUCAAGUGAAGCAGGCCGAGUUGUCUCCUUCGCUCGACACACACCAAGUCAUGGAUCCCAGCUGCUAACGGUGUGUCUGGAACUGGAGGGCCGGGUACACGGGCCGCCCAGCUGGCCUUGACCUUUGAUUAAACUCCUCCAAUAACGAUAUUUUUUUUUUUUGUUCAGUAGAAAUCCUAAUUUCAAGGCCAGAUUGGAUUCCCGUCCAUGUGAACGGCCCGGAGUCGGGGCUCAGAUCAAAAAAAGCCGGGGAGUUAAGCGGAUGACACAGAGAAAUACAGCUGACAGUUUGUGAAGUGUGUAUCUGGGUCACCGCGGAGCUCCUCGCAUCCGCCGACGACUUGAAGCUGGUUUCGGGGUGGGCUGGGUGGGGGGGGGGCUGUUUAAAAAAAAAAAAGUUAUCUGCACUAAAAGAAGCAUGUGUUUGGGGACUGAACACAGGCGUGGUGCUACUCUGUCUGAGUUAGAAGCUGAACCUCUUUACGAGACUUUACAUGAACCGGUGGCUGAGGUCGGAGUCUGAGAAAAACAAAAAACAAAAAGAAAAAAAAAACAAACAGAAAACGGUUAACCUCACUGGCUGAUGGAGAGGAGAAAAAAGUCCCACUGCUAUGGUUUGUUGCGUUAGAGGUCUACAUUUCUUGUAAACGGUACAAAGACAGUGAGGUUUGGUGUAGGUCUGUGCCUCUGCUGUUCGCUGUUAGCCUCUCACAGGCGAGCCUUCCCGUGUGUGUGUGUGGGGGGGGGGGCGGGGGGGGCCAGUGGGUUUGAGCCUUCAUGAUUUCACUAGUAUCUGAAAGCCUUUUUAAAAAGCCAGAUUGAAAGUAUAUUUGUACAUUUUAAAUUAUGUAAUGCACACCACUUAUUUUUGCUAACAGAAAAAAAAUAAUAAAGUAGUCUAAUUAUUAAUCUUAGUAAUAAAUGUAUCAUGAUAAGUGACGGUUAAAAAAGAAAAGAAAAAAGAAAAUGUAUAACAAAAUUUUUAUUAUUGCAAUAGACUGUUGACUUGUUCCUGUGUCACUGUAUAACGUAAAGUGUAUGUGUGAACAUUGGUGGGUUGUUGCAACUAGUGACGUGUGUUUGGACUGUCGUACUGUUAUUGAUCGGGACGUGGACUUAAAACCACCUCAUGCUUCGAUGUUCGGGG